AGCGGCGGAGGGAGGAACACGUGGGCAACCUGCCUCAUAGAGGGGAAUAGCACCCGAAAGGGAGACUAAUACCGCAUAAGAUUGUAGCUUCGCAUGAAGUAGCAAUUAAAGGAGCAAUCCGCUAUGAGAUGGGCCCGCGGCGCAUUAGCUAGUUGGUGAGGUAACGGCUCACCAAGGCGACGAUGCGUAGCCGACCUGAGAGGGUGAUCGGCCACAUUGGGACUGAGACACGGCCAAGACUCCUACGGGAGGCAGCAGUGGGGAAUAUUGCACAAUGGGGGAAACCCUGAUGCAGCAACGCCGCGUGAGUGAUGACGGCCUUCGGGUUGUAAAGCUCUGUCUUCAGGGACGAUAAUGACGGUACCUGAGGAGGAAGCCACGGCUAACUACGUGCCAGCAGCCGCGGUAAUACGUAGGUGGCGAGCGUUGUCCGGAUUUACUGGGCGUAAAGGGAGCGUAGGCGGACUUUUAAGUGAGAUGUGAAAUACCCGGGCUCAACUUGGGUGCUGCAUUUCAAACUGGAAGUCUAGAGUGCAGGAGAGGAGAAUGGAAUUCCUAGUGUAGCGGUGAAAUGCGUAGAGAUUAGGAAGAACACCAGUGGCGAAGGCGCUUCUCUGGACUGUAACUGACGCUGAGGCUCGAAAGCGUGGGGAGAUAACAGGAUUAGAUACCCUGGUAGUCCCGCCGUAAACGAUGAAUACUAGGUGU
rnacentral:rRNA from 1 species